GAUUUCUCUUUAUUUUUCUGCAUUCUCAUCAGCAAAAACACCAUAGAAGGGUUUCCUUAAGCUGGUUUUUCAUAUUUUUACUGCAAGUAAGUUCAAUUCUUGAUCAUUUCUUGAAAUUUUUGUGUUUUUUGUGACUUUUACAACUAGGCCCACUUGUUGAAUUCAUUAGUUUUUUAUUCUAUGAAAGAAGUUGAAAGUUGCUAUGAAUAUGUGCUGCAAGUAUAUGAUGAUUUAGCAUGGAAUUAGAGCUUUAAAUUGUUUAUAUGCUGAUUUUAUUGAAAGAAUUGAAUAGAAAGUGAAUGUUUAGGACCUAAUAGUAAAACAAGUUAGGGUUUUAUGAGGAAAUUCUGAAUUUUAAUAAUUAUGAAUAACUUAUAAUGUCUAGGUAAAGUACUAAUUGAGAAAAAUUAGCUUAAUUGUGGGGUUAAUUGAGCAAGGACGGAAUUGUAUGAACUGUGAAAUUUGGGGAAAAAUGGAAAUCAAUAUUUUGCACUAAAACAGUUUUGAACAGCAGCAAUAGUUUAACUUUGAAAAAUCACCAAAAAUUGUGGGAAUUGAAUUAAAGAAUGAAUAAAAUAUGAAAUUAAAUCUUAUUGAGUCUAGUUUCUCAUAAAAGAAACGAUGCAAGUAAUGGAUUUGUAAAUUAUGAGAUAUAAUAAAUUUUGUGAGACAAGGUCAGAAUGAUUUUGGGUUCCCCUGUUUUGAAUUUGGAAAAUAAUAAAAAAUUGAAUAAAAAUAAUUAGGGGCUUAAAUUUAUAUAUUUAAAAUCCUGAAUAAGUCUAUUUUCAAUAGAAACAAACGGAAACAUCAUCCAAAUCCCGUACGAGGAGAUAAUUAAUUUUUAGUGAAGAAGGGUCGGAACUGUCUAGCAAUGAAACAGGGGAGACUUUAAAGAAUAAACUGUACUUAUUGGGUAAGCUAAAAAUUCUGAAAAUUUUAUGGUAAGAAGAUAUGUGAGUGUAGUUUCAUAUAAAAUUAACGGAUCUUAAUUUGGAGUUUUGUAACACAAGAUAUAAAUAAUUUAGUGACUCUGACUCAGAUAGACAGAUUUGAAUUUACUUAUAAGUAAAUAGUGAAAAUAUAGUUAAUGUUAUUUAAGCGUGUUAUAUACAUUAAGGAUGUGGAAUGGAGAAGAGGAGGAGGAAAAUUGGAAAAUAUAUGAAUGACUUGUGUAUAAAUCGGUCAUAUAUUCAAUCAUAAUCGAUAAAUGUUGAAUUAGAAAUGAUGUAAUGUUUUAUUUCAAAUAGUUACUAUGAGAUUGAUGAUGAUCUGAUUUUAGCUAAAUUAAAAGCUAAAGCGAUGUUUUCAUUGCAAAAUUAAUAAUUUCAUAAAUGUGUUAAUGAAUGGCAUAAUUGAUAAACGUCGAGUUAAAUGGUAAAUACGUAUUAGUAUUGAACUUAAUGAUAUUGAAUUGUAUGAGAAGUAAAUGGAAAUUUCUAUUGCUAGUGAUAUGAUUUGAAUUAAAAGAAUUAUUGUGAUAUUGAAAUGUAUAUUGGAUUGAGAAAUUGAUUUGAAUUGUGAACAUGAGAAAUUAUGAAUUGAAUGAAAUGGAAAUGAAGCAUUGAAUUGUUAAGACUUGUGAAUUGCAUGAAUAUAAAUCAGGUCUUGUAGGCCCUAUUUAUUAUGAAUAUAAUAUUUAGAGGAUAUAUUGUGAAGAAUUAUAAAAGCAUGUUAAAAAUUUGAAAGUUUUAAUUUAGAUGAAAUUUUAUAAAACGGUUAAAUACGUUUACAAGUGUAUGUGUUCUGGUAAUGCCUCGCACCCUAUUCCGGUGUCGGAUACGAGUAAGGGGUGUUACAGUCUGAGCUUUGAACCUCAUGGUAAGAUAAGCUGAAGGUUGGCUAUGUUUUGCUUUGUUGAGUCUAGUGGUUGCCGGUUUAGUGUUUCCAUUGAAGGUUCAAUUUGCUUCUUGAUCUGCAAUUUCUUUAUGUUUUCACAUUUGUGAGAUCUUUUCAUGUUCUUGCUGACUUGAUCUAUUACAUUGCUGGUGCUUAGUAGUUGCGUUCUUAUUGAAUCUUUCGAUUUUUUGGUUCUUGUUUUCUUGAUUUUUCUAGAUCUUUGAUUAAUUUUAGCUAAUCUAGCUCACGAUAUUUUGGUGUUCUAAUAAAGUUGUUGGUAGUAAUAUAUUUGAUUCUUGAGUCAUUGUUAAAUCUUCAUUGAUUUUCUGUUGAUCUAAUCAAUAAUUAUUGGUUUAGUUUUUCAUCUCUUGGGUAUUCAAAUGAAGUAAAUGGUUCUUGCUCACUUUUCAAUUGAUGAUAAGUGAUUUGCUCACAUAUUUAAAAUAAUUAAAAAUAGGGUAAAAUACAUCAACAAUCACUCAACUUUGAUCUCAAUAACAAAAAAGCUACUCAACUUUCAACUCAGUCACUUAACUUUCAAAAAAUAACAAGUCAGUCACGAACAUUAUCGAAAAGAGACAAAUCAAUCACCCACUAACAUUUUUCGUUACAGGCCUAACGAGACAGGUGAUGUGACCAGUUAACUUGCCGUGGUGGAAACCCAAAUUAAGAACCAAACAAGACAGUAAAAGAAGAAGAUGAAGAUGAAGAGAAGAGGAGGAGGAGGAGAAAAAUAAGAACUGGAGAUGCCGAAACAAGAAAAACCAUUAGAGAUCCAAACUUUUCCUUCAUCACUGUUUAUUCACCUCCUUCCCAACUUCUCGUCGCUUAACCUAGUGAAGAAGAUCUUCCAAUCGAUCUGUGACUUUCCUUAACGAUUUUAUAGAUUACCUUAAUAAUGUUUCAUUUGUGAACCAGCCUCAAUUUUUAAGGUCUUACUUAAGACGAUUAAGUCAAUUAAAUCAGUUUUAACCUACUUAUGCUCUUCCGUAUCCAUAAUGCUAGAAUGGUUCUAGUUGACUGAUUGACUCGUGAUAUAAAAAACAUGAGGCUUUAAUUGAAAUGGUAAAGUUAAAAUGUUAAAUACU
rnacentral:lncRNA from 1 species